rnacentral:rRNA from 1 species
AACACAUGCAAGUCGAACGAAGGUUUUACCUUAGUGGCGGACGGGUGAGUAACACGUGAGAAUCUACCCUUGGGAGGGGAAUAACAGUUGGAAACGAUUGCUAAUGCCCCAUAAGCUGAAAAGUGAAAUGAUUUCUCGCCCGAGGAUGAGCUCGCGCCUGAUUAGCUAGUUGGUAAGAUAAAAGCUUACCAAGGCAACGAUCAGUAGCUGGUUUGAGAGGACGACCAGCCACACUGGGACUGAGACACGGCCCAGACUUCUACGGAAGGCAGCAGUGGGGAAUUUUCCGCAAUGGGCGAAAGCCUGACGGAGCAAUACCGCGUGAGGGAAGAAUGCCCGUGGGUUGUAAACCUCUUUUCUUAGGGAAGAAGUUCUGACGGUACCUAAAGAAUAAGCAUCGGCUAACUCCGUGCCAGCAGCCGCGGUAAUACGGAGGAUGCAAGCGUUAUCCGGAAUCACUGGGCGUAAAGCGUCUGUAGGUGGUUUAUAUAAGUCUGCUGUUAAAUAUUAGGGCUUAACCCUAAGCAAGCAGUGGAAACUAUUAGACUAGAGUAUGGUAUAGGCAGAGGGAAUUCCCAGUGUAGCGGUGAAAUGCGUAGAUAUUGGGAAGAACACCAGAAGCGAAAGCGCUCUGCUGGGCCAUUACUGACACUCAGAGACGAAAGCUAGGGGAGCAAAUGGGAUUAGAUACCCCAGUAGUCCUAGCCGUAAACGAUGGAUACUAGAUGUUGCGCGUAUCGAUCCGUGCAGUAUCGUAGCUAACGCGUUAAGUAUCCCGCCUGGGAAGUAUGCUCGCAAGGGUGAAACUCAAAGGAAUUGACGGGGGCCCGCACAAGCGGUGGAGCAUGUGGUUUAAUUCGAUGCAACACGAAGAACCUUACCAGAACUUGACAUGCCAUGAAUUUUUAUGAAAGUAAAAAGUGCCCUAGGGAACGUGGACACAGGU